ensembl:lncRNA
GCUUGAACUUGCUGAUUGGUUUUGCUGUCUUCUGCUUGCAAUGGACUCUUUCUCCUCUGCAGGGUGCCCCUGCCACCCAUGCCACCCUGCCUUAGAGCCAGCCAACUAUGGACUGAAACUGCUAUGAACUGUAGAGAUCAAGAGGACAACAGAAAAGAUGGCCUGAGGACAUCACAAAACCAGCAAGACCCUAUCCUUUAAAAAUCUCAAAAUUGUAAAAGUGAAAGACUGCAUUGAAAAAAAAAAAGCCUCAGAGUACCAUGUUCCAGAAUGGCAACAGCCUAGAGUUCCUUGGGAUUGGAUUCAGCGUGCUCAGUGAUUCAGGCACCCUACGGCUAAGAAAAAAAGAAGUCUGGCCACUGCCCCAGCCAGUGGCAGACCCUGGCACCAUCCACGUGGUGCUGGUUUUGGGCGCAUGCAGUAUGCAAGAAUUGUGGGAUCAGCAAGGCUUCCACCCAGAUUUCAGAAGGCCUGGGAGGCCAGGCAGUGUGCCCCUGAGAGAGCAGUGUGUGAAGCUGUGAGGGCGAAGCUGAAGGUGCAGUGGAGACUCCAGAAAUUUGGAGAAGCCAAGAACAUGGAUGGUUUGAGGAAAACUGCAAGGAAGGUGCAGAGCCCACCUAAGAGAGAAGCCAUGAGAGUUAUAACUACCAGCAGCACUGUAAGAUCAUAGUUGGUUCCAUGGGAUCCACCCAGGUCAUUUGCAUCUCAACACUGGACCGCACCAGAUGAGGUCCUGCCUUCCUCCAGGAUGCUGCAGAGUGUUACAGUGGUAACUGAGUCAUUUGAAGAGGACACAUUACCUUGUGCCUACUUUUAGUAGAUAAAAUGCUAAUGCCUCUGUAUUGUUUGGUGCAUGGGAUCAGAGUUUCUCAUGGUUGGUGUCCCCUUCUGUUUCUCAAAUUCUGCAGAUGACAGUGAUAUACAUUAUUUUUCAACUGUUCAUUCUGUGUGGUUUCUUUAACAAUAUUCACUUCUAAAAAACAGAACAAAUGCACUUUGAUAAAUCUCCUGUUUUUUUUCAGAAAAUAAUAAAGAUUGCUAAUUUG